AGCUUUGGGGAGAAAAUCUCUGCUUUGGUUUCUGCUGCCCCAGGAAGGUUCCAGUGUCCCUGCAGGAGCUGGGGCUGCCCUGGAGUGUCCAGGGCCAGGCUGGGCAGGGCCUGGAGCACCCUGGGACAGGGGAAGGGGUUGGAAGUGGAUGGGCUUUAAGGUUCAAACCAUUCUGGGACUCUGAUUCUGCUCCUGCCUCUUGGAAUUGCACAGUUUCAGCUGAAUCUGCUCACUGUGUGGAAGAUGGAAUGGCUCAGGCUGGAAGCUGUGGGGACUCUGAUCUUGUCCAGAGGAACUGGAUUCUGAUGGAGAUCACUCCCAGCUGCCCCAGAGCUGCUGGUGUGAGGCAGCCUGGCAGCCUCUGUGGAUGCUCAGAUCCCGGCUCAGCCCCGGAUGUGUUUGCCCCCUGACUGCCAGGGCAGCCAGCACGGAGCCACUUCCACGGAGGAACGGCAAAAACUCGGAAUUCUUCAUCAGCCUCGGAGUUAAUCGUUAUUAAUCACUUCCAGCGCUUUCCUGAGGGCUGGGAGCAGCCACGAGAGGGCAGGAGCUGCUGCUGCUGUUCGGGAGGAACGCGGUUGUCCCCAGGUGCAAAGAUUUCAACUAGGAAAUGAUGAAAGCAGCAGCAGGGCCAUUUCUGGGAGAAGUUUCUGAGGGAUAUCAAUGGCACUGAGCUUGGCAAACUGCAAACAUCAGCCCCUGGGUGAUGCCCUGAGGGAAACACUCACAGGAAACUUGCCCAGCCCUUGAGGAAGGUAAGUGAAGCUCUCAGAUGUGCUCAAGCCACCGAGGAGCACCAAACCACCCCAAAAUCCAGCUAAACCCAGAGAAAAUAAGGCAAAAAUCCUAAUAAUGCAGGUAGGAGUGUGGGAUCUGCUUAGAGAGCAGCUUAAACACCUCAAGGUUCUUUAAUCCUGUCACGGAGUUCAGGAUUUUUGCUUUUCAUUGUU